rnacentral:rRNA from 1 species
AGUGAACGCUGGCGGUAGGCCUAACACAUGCAAGUCGAACGGCAGCACAGUAAGAGCUUGCUCUUACGGGUGGCGAGUGGCGGACGGGUGAGGAAUGCAUCGGAAUCUACUUUUUCGUGGGGGAUAACGUAGGGAAACUUACGCUAAUACCGCAUACGACCUACGGGUGAAAGCAGGGGAUCUUCGGACCUUGCGCGAUUGAAUGAGCCGAUGUCGGAUUAGCUAGUUGGCGGGGUAAAGGCCCACCAAGGCGACGAUCCGUAGCUGGUCUGAGAGGAUGAUCAGCCACACUGGAACUGAGCCACGGUCCAGACUACUACGGGAGGCAGCAGUGGGGAAUAUUGGACAAAGGGCGCAAGCAUGAUCCAGCCAUACCGCGUGGGUGAAGAAGGCCUUCGGGUUGUAAAGACCUUUUGUUGGGAAAGAAAAGCAGCAGGUUAAUACCCAGCUGUUCUGACGGUACCCAAAGAAUAAGCACCGGCUAACUUCGUG